AGCUCUAAUAGCGUAUACUAAAGUUGUUGCAGUUAAAAAGCUCGUAGUUGGAUUUCGGAACUGGGCGGUCACCAGUCGGCCGUAAGGUCUGUACUGGUCCGUCCGUUCUCACCUAUGGGAUGCUCACCUCUACCCUUAACUGGGCGGAGGCAAAUAAGCGGGUGCAGGACAAAACCGUAUACGUCUCGCGCGUGUACGGCCUACAUUCGUGGAGUUCCCAUUCGUUUACUUUGAAUAAAUUAGGGUGUUCAAAGCAGCCAAAAAAGGAGGCAUGAAUACUACAGCAUGGGAUAACGGAAUACGAUUUCGGUUCGAUGUUUCGUUGGUUUCUAGGAUCGAAGUAAUGAUUAAAAGGGAUAGUUGGGGGCAUUAGUAUUUAAUUGUCAGAGGUGAAAUUCUUGGAUUUAUGAAAGACUAACUUCUGCGAAAGCAUUUGCCAAGGAUGUUUUCA
rnacentral:rRNA from 1 species